rnacentral:lncRNA from 1 species
GCCAAGACGAUUGAUGUGAAUGACUUCAUCAACUGGGCCUCAUCCUUGGAUGACGCUCCAGCUCUCAUUAGUCAAAAACUGUCCCCUAUCUAUAAUCUCAUUCCUUUGACAAUGAAAGAUGCAUACGCAAAGAAACAGAAUAUGGAAAAGGCUAUUGAAGACUAUGUGAAUGAAUUCAGUGCUAGAAAGUGCUAUGAUGUCGUCUCUGUUUCAGGUCUACAGUGCCUUUCUCCCCUCUUUAAUGCCUAUAAUGCUUCCAUUUUUUUUUUAUUCCCUAAUGAAGAAUCGGCAGUGAGAUAUGCCAGGACUGCCUUUUCCCACAGGCAAUGCCAAUCUCUCGCUAAUAAAACAAAAUUAAAUU